CUACGGGUUGCACCAGUGGGGAAUAUUGCACAAUGGGCGCAAGCCUGAUGCAGCAACGCCGCGUGAACGAUGAAGGCCCUUGGGUCGUAAAGUUCUGUCCUUGGGGAAGAAACAAAUGACGGUACCCAAGAAGAAAGCCCCGGCUAAUUACGUGCCAGCAGCCGCGGUAAUACGUAAGGGGCGGGCGUUAUCCGGAAUUAUUGGGCGUAAAGAGUAUGUAGGUGGUUUUUUAAGCGCGAGGUUUAAGGCAAUGGCUCAACCAUUGUUUGCCUUGCGAACUGGAAAACUUGAGUGCAGGAGAGGAAAGCGGAAUUCCUAGUGUAGCGGUGAGAUGCGUAGAUAUUAGGAGGAACACCAGUGGCGAAGGCGGCUUUCUGGACUGUAACUGACACUGAGAUACGAAAGCGUGGGGAGCAAACAGGAUUAGAUACCCCAGUAGUC
rnacentral:rRNA from 1 species